rnacentral:rRNA from 1 species
GCAUCGAUGAAGAACGCAGCGAAAUGCGAUAAGUAAUGUGAAUUGCAGAAUUCAGUGAAUCAUCGAAUCUUUGAACGCAACUUGCGCUCUCUGGUAUUCCGGAGAGCAUGCCUGUUUGAGUAUCAUGAAAUCUCAACCAUUAGGGUUUCUUAAUGGCUUGGAUUUGGGCGCUGCCACUUGCCUGGCUCGCCUUAAAAGAGUUAGCGUAUUAACUUGUCGAUCUGGCGUAAUAAGUUUCGCUGGUGUAGACUUGAGAAGUGCGCUUCUAAUCGUCUUCGGACAAUUCUUGAACUCUGGUCUCAAAUCAGGUAGGACUACCCGCUGAACUUAAGCAUAUCAAUAAGCGGAGGA